AGGGGCAGGCCGGAUCCUGGGCUGUGUCCCCAACGCCCUGUGCUCCUGGGCCUGUGCUGUUGGAUUCGUGCUCUCCACCGGGCAGCCCCCU
rnacentral:pre_miRNA from 1 species